rnacentral:rRNA from 1 species
AUUGAACGCUGGCGGCAUGCCUUACACAUGCAAGUCGAACGGCAGCACGGGAGCAAUCCUGGUGGCGAGUGGCGAACGGGUGAGUAAAGUAUCGGAACGUGCCCAGUCGUGGGGGAUAACGUAGUGAAAGUUACGCUAGUACCGCAUACGAUCUAUGGAUGAAAGCGGGGGAUCGCAAGACCUCGCGCGAUUGGAGCGGCCGAUAUCAGAUUAGGUAGUUGGUGGGGUAAAGGCUCACCAAGCCGACGAUCUGUAGCUGGUCUGAGAGGACGACCAGCAACACUGGGACUGAGACACGGCCCAGACUCCUACGGGAGGCAGCAGUGGGGAAUUUUGGACAAUGGGCGAAAGCCUGAUCCAGCCAUGCCGCGUGCAGGAUGAAGGCCUUCGGGUUGUAAACUGCUUUUGUACGGAACGAAAAGGUUUGGCCUAAUAAGCUGAGCUCAUGACGGUACCGUAAGAAUAAGCACCGGCUAACUACGUGCCAGCCGCCGCCGUAA